AACCUCCGCAAUGUGAGAAGUCGCGACGGGGGGAUCCCAAGUGCCAUUCUUAACGGGAUGGCUUUUCAUUAGUGUAAAGAGCUUUUGGAAUAAGGGCUGGGCAAGACCGGUGCCAGCCGCCGCGGUAACACCGGCAGCUCUAGUGGUAGCAGUUUUUAUUGGGCCUAAAGCGUCCGUAGCCGGUUUAAUAAGUCUCUGGUGAAAUCCUGUAGCUUAACUGUGGGAAUUGCUGGAGAUACUAUUAGACUUGAGACCGGGAGAGGUUAGAGGUACUCCCAGGGUAGAGGUGAAAUUCUGUAAUCCUGGGAGGACCGCCUGUUGCGAAGGCGUCUAACUGGAACGGUUCUGACGGUGAGGGACGAAAGUUAGGGGCGCGAACCGGAUUAGAUACCCGGGUAGUCCUAACUGUAAACGAUGCGGACUUGGUGUUGGGGUGGCUUUGAGCUGCUCCAGUGCCGAAGGGAAGCUGUUAAGUCCGCCGCCUGGGAAGUACGGUCGCAAGACUGAAACUUAAAGGAAUU
rnacentral:rRNA from 1 species